rnacentral:lncRNA from 1 species
AAAGGAAUAUAAAAGUGAUUACCAAAUUCAUCUAAUAUAACUACACAUCUGUAAUUCAAUAUGUCUUUUAAGAAACAAUGCCUUCUUUUUUAGUGUCUUUGUACCCUAUCCAUGAUGUAAGAUAUCGAUACUUUCCCCCAGUCCGUUUCUUUAGUUCGUCCAUAACAUUUGCAUGAUUUCGCUCAACUUCCUUUCUACGAAUAAUAUAUUCACUCUUAUAUUUCUCAAAAAGGUUUUGCAGUACUUUUUCCUCUUCAAUUUGUUGAGU